ensembl:lncRNA
GGUGAGGAGGCGGCGUCUUCUGGUGUGGAUCUGAUGUCCCGAAAGAGAGAGAAGACACGGGGAGAACCGUGGACCUCCAGACCUCUUCUGGUACCCGGUCACUCCCCUGCACAUCCCUUCAUACUGCAUAUUCCAAUUUAAAUACACUCUCUGUGUAGAGAUGAUCUGUCUGGGUAAAAAAUGCCGGGACAAAUUCCAUGGAUCCAAAGAAUAGUUCUGAUUCACAUUCUGGUUCAGAUUCUGAUUCACAUUCUGGUUCUGAUUCACAUUCUGGUUCUGAUUCUGAUCAGGACAGAAGGCAAAGAGGAGCACAGGCCCUGCCGUUGAAAUAGGCGUGAUGAGAGUAAUUAGGGACGCAGGGCGAAGAGGAAACGGAGAGCCGCUGCCACAACCGAUACUUUUCAUUUCCGGCCGUCGGAAAUGGAGACAACAUUAACGCAACGCCGUCCGGCGCUCCGGUGGAUUCAUCCCCUCGGGGAGUGACGAGCAGACCGAAGGCCACCGACACUUAAAUAACAGCCCCGUAAUCACAGGAAGCGGGUGGGGGGGGGAGGUGGCAUUUUCUCCGUUUCGCGUCUCGUUGCCCGGCCCCCCCGUCCGUCUCCCUCCUCUUCAUCUCACCUUUGCACUCGACAUCCGCCUGUUCCACUUCUCUUCUCACCUCCCUCCCCUCUCCUCCCCCCCUGCUCCCUUUCCCUCCCCAAGACAGCUUCAAUUUACGAAAUCCACAGAGGUGUUGAGAGGGCUUUUAAUGGCGCUGGUAUUUCUCCCCCAGUCAGCUGAGUGGGCCGCCUGGAGACUUUUUCCUGUAGUCUGAGUGAUUUCUCGCUGUGCACUUAAACGCUACAACCCCCCCCCCCCCCCCCCCCCUCCAUCCCCCCCGCCCCCCUCAAACACUCGCUUUCACAAAUAAGUUUGUUACAUCACAUAAUGCUCCCCCUCUGGCGGCGGGCUCUUUAUUUUUACACCCCGAGCCGCUAAUGUGAAGAUUAUUUUUAAUUUUUUUCCCCCCACCUGCUUUAAUUGUUCGCGUCGGCUCUUGAG